rnacentral:rRNA from 1 species
UACGAAGGGGGCUAGCGUUGCUCGGAAUCACUGGGCGUAAAGGGUGCGUAGGCGGGUCUUUAAGUCAGGGGUGAAAUCCUGGAGCUCAACUCCAGAACUGCCUUUGAUACUGAAGAUCUGAGUUCGGGAGAGGUGAGUGGAACUGCGAGUGUAGAGGUGAAAUUCGUAGAUAUUCGCAAGAACACCAGUGGCGAAGGCGGCUCACUGGCCCGGUACUGACGCUGAGGUGCGAAAGCGUGGGGAGCAAACAGG